UACAGAGGUGGCAAGCGUUGUUCGGAAUUACUGGGCGUAAAGGGCGCGUAGGCGGUCAGGUCAGUCCCGUGUGAAAUCCCUCGGCUCAACUGAGGAACUGCACGGGAAACUGCCUGGCUUGAGUUCGGGAGAGGGAAGCGGAAUUCCGGGUGUAGCGGUGAAAUGCGCAGAUAUCAGGAGGAACACCGAUGGCGAAGGCAGCUCGCUGGGACGGUACUGACGCUGAGGCGCGAAAGCGUGGGGAGCAAACAGG
rnacentral:rRNA from 1 species